AUGCAGGGCAUGGCGAUAGCGAUCCAGCAUUGCGAGCUUCCCAUCAUCGUCCAGUCUGAUUCUUCGUUAGCUAUUUCCUCUUUAUCUGGUACUAGCUUAUCUAGAUCUGCCUAUGGGCAUCUUGUAAAUGAGAUUCGUCAUCUCAUGGUAGAUAGAGUUUUUAUUCCUAUGAAAAUUAGCCGCUUACAAAAUAGGGUAGCAGAUCGUCUGGCCUCUUACAGUCGUAUAGAGCGAACAACUGCUGUAUGGCUGGGUCGAGGACCACCGUGUGUGGAGGAACUUGUGCCUCUCGAUUGUAACCCUGUGACUAUGGAAUAA
rnacentral:rRNA from 1 species